CCGCGGUAAUACGGAGGGGGCUAGCGUUGUUCGGAAUCACUGGGCGUAAAGGGUCCGUAGGCGGCCAUGCAAGUCCCGGGUGAAAGCCCCCGGCUCAACUGGGGAAUUGCCUAGGAAACUGCAUGGCUUGAGUUCGGUAGAGGGAGAUGGAAUUCCGGGUGUAGCGGUGAAAUGCGUAGAUAUCCGGAGGAACACCAGUGGCGAAGGCGAUCUCCUGGGCCGAUACUGACGCUGAGGGACGAAAGCUAGGGGAGCAAACAGGAUUAGAUACCCUGGUAGUCCUAGCCCUAAACGAUGGGCACUUGGUGUGCCGACCCAUGAGGUUGGCGUGCCGGCGCUAACGCAUUAAGUGCCCCGCCUGGGGAGUACGGCCGCAAGGCUGAAACUCAAAGGAAUUGACGGGGGCCCGCACAAGCGGUGGAGCAUGUGGUUUAAUUCGAUGCAACGCGAAGAACCUUACCUGGGUUUGAACUGCUUGGGACACCCUCUAGAAAUAGAGGUUUUCUUCGGAACCCUUGCAGAGGUGCUGCAUGGCUGUCGUCAGCUCGUGUCGUGAGAUGUUGGGUUAAGUCCCGCAACGAGCGCAACCCUUGCCCCUAGUUGCCAUCAGUUCGGCUGGGAACUCUAGGGGGACUGCCGGUGAUAAACCGUGAGGAAGGUGGGGAUGACGUCAAGUCAUCAUGGCCUUUAUGCCCAGGGCUACACACGUGCUACAAUGGCGAGGACAGAGGGCCGCGAACCCGCGAGGGGGAGCCAAUCCCAGAAACCUCGUCUCAGUUCGGAUUGGAGUCUGCAACUCGACUCCAUGAAGUUGGAAUCGCUAGUAAUCGCGGAUCAGCAACGCCGCGGUGAAUACGUUCCCGGGCCUUGUACACACCGCCCGUCACAUCACGAAAGCCGGGUGCACUAGAAGUCGUUAACCCAACCUUCGGGAGGGAUGCGCCGACGGUGUGCUUGGUGAUUGGGGUGAAGUCGUAACAAGG
rnacentral:rRNA from 1 species